AAACUAUGGUGGGGACACUUCAUAAUCAAGUCUUUAAAUCUCUCCCAAUUCUCGUAAAAUUUUCGUUAUUUUCUUGAUAAAAAUAAGUAAUCUCUCUCCUCAAAGCAU